rnacentral:siRNA from 1 species
GAAACCCGUAAUCCCCCAGGCC